rnacentral:rRNA from 1 species
GGCUUGUUGAUAAUAAUUUUAAGUCUGGCCUGCCCAAUGAUAAAUUUAAUGGCCGCGGUAUAUUGACCGUGCAAAGGUAGCAUAAUCAUUAGUUUUUUAAUUGAAAGCUUGUAUGAAAGGUUCGAUGAGAGAAUUUCUGUCUCUAUAGGAAUUAAUUAGAAUUUUAUUUUUAAGUGAAAAAGCUUAAAUUUUUAUAGAAGACGAGAAGACCCUAUAGAGUUUUAUAUUAAUAUAUAAUAUUUAAUUUAAAGAAUUGUAAUUAAUUUUUGGUAUUAAUAUUUUAUUGGGGUGAUUGGAAAAUUUAUUAAACUUUUCUUUUAAAAAAUCAUUGAUUUAUGAAUAUAUGAUCCUAUAGUUUAGAUUAUAAGAUUAAAUUACCUUAGGGAUAACAGCGUAAUCUUUUUUAGAGUUCUUAUCGAAAGAAAGGAUUGCGACCUCGAUGUUKGAUUAAAAUUAAUUAUUGGUGUAGAAGCUAAKGAUUAGGUCUGUUCGACUUUUAAAAUUUUACA